GCUCCCCCGACGGAAAACGAAACCCACACCAAUUCAUAAGAUUUAUGAGAGUCAAAACCACAAACCCAACAACCUAUAAUAGAAACAUGCGUGGAAAUUGCCUAUCCACGACCCAGUAGCAAUUCUCAUGUUCUUGGAAAACCCAACACGAACAUCUACUUUUUAAGAGAGAGUGAAGAAUAGGCAAUGGAAAGUUUGAAUCUUUCCCAAAGCUAAAGGUCCAAGCGGCGACGUUCUGGCCCUGCUACAAAAUGCUAGCUUUUUUGUGAUUUUGUCGUCUACUCGGGGUUUCCAUGGAAGGGCCUGUACUUGUUGAUACCCAGGUUUCAAUCUUCGUGCAUCUCUCGUAUUCGCCCUACUCCUCUUGUACAAUAUUUAGAUCUUCACUAUGGAGAUCAGACUUCUAGUUGGUAAGUUGGAAGCCUAAGAAAGAUAAAGAGCCCCACAACAUGAAUGCUCUAAAGACUUACUGGCAAGUCGAGAUGGCCGGUGAAAUGUUCUGAAAUCACUUAGCUAUGGAGACUUGGAGCUGAUAUAAGAAUUUAAGCGCAAAUAAAGAUGAUUACUAGGCAGUGACCAGUAAAGUGCAUUUCUUGUCUGCAUACUGAAUCGAAACUAAUAUUGCAGCAAUUUUAACUUGGUUUGCAAUGAUGACAAGUCUACAAUUGUGAACCAGCUCCAUGGCCUUGUUGCAUCCUCACACUUGGUCCUUGCUUCAUCUAGUUAUUGAUAUGUCUUAAUUUGUUGAUGUAGUAUGUCUGCAUGCUUAAGGUUCCUUGAUAGCCACGUUUUUCUUUUUCAUGCCAGACCCAGGUUCUAUUCUACCAUUUACAUAUGCUAUAGCUACUAUAUUUUCAAUCUUCAUGCACAUAUAAUAUUCACAAGGUAAUAUACAAAAUCUAGCUCUUUUCUUCAAUCCAAAGAGAUAAUUCUUAUAUUGAUAAAACUUUUAUCUAUUUAUACAUAGUAGAAAAAGGCCUGAGAUUACGGACAAGAAGUAGUUAGCUUUUAAGUGAAACAAUGUUAUACAUUUGUUUGCGGUGAAGUAAAAACCAGGAUGAAUAAACAUUCUUCUCUUGUUCUGGCAUAUAAAAUGCUGCAUUCAAUUAAAAUUACAUGAUAUCACAUACUUUGAUACAGCUAAUAUCCUUAUUUCAGAUAAUUUCCUACUGCAUAUAAUAUAUAUGAAGGUAUAUAUUGAGAUUUAGUAAGGAAGGUGGCCAUAAAUUAUAUAUGCGUGUGUGUCUGUGUAUUUCUAGCUCCUUCUUCCUGUUACUUUGAGAUAGGACUCUCUAAUAGCCUUCAUUUUGUUGACAAUGACAUCCAUAAAUAUCCGUUCUCUUGGUGAUAUUGACGAGCAUAAGACUCCUAUAUGCAUAACUGAAACCAAGCACUCCUCUCCUCUUCGUUUGACUAGGUCAGGAUCCUGAUGUCUUGUUGGUCUUUCUGUUACAUGAGCUGUAGCACACUAUGCUUUCCAGCAAUGCUGCAGCUGGAAUAUACUCAUAUUGACAGAGGUGUCUAUGUAAGCUUUCUAGCUGUAAUACACACAGUGUAAUCAUGGUAUAAGCUCUAUAAGAGCAUGAUUGUAAUUCAGUGUAAAUGUGCUUGAAUAUAGCAAAUACAUUACCAGAUUUGACAUGGUAUCAGAGCAGUUUUGCUCUUGAGCCUGAUUCCCACCUCUAGAAAUCUAGAUUACCCAUACCCAUAUUCCGCUGCC
rnacentral:lncRNA from 1 species